rnacentral:rRNA from 2 species
GCAUAUCAAUAAGCGGAGGAAAAGAAACUAACUAGGAUUCCCUUAGUAACGGCGAGUGAACCGGGAUGAGCUCAAAUUUGAAAUCUGGCGUCUUUCAGGCGUCCGAGUUGUAAUCUAUAGAGGCGUUUUCCGCGCCGGACCGCGUCCAAGUCUCUUGGAAUAGAGUAUCAAAGAGGGUGACAAUCCCGUACUUGACGCGACAACCGGUGCUCUGUGAUACGUUCUCAAUGAGUCGAGUUGUUUGGGAAUGCAGCUCUAAAUGGGUGGUAAAUUCCAUCUAAGGCUAAAUAUUGGCGAGAGACCGAUAGCGAACAAGUACCGUGAGGGAAAGAUGAAAAGCACUUUGGAAAGAGAGUUAAACAGCACGUGAAAUUGUUAAAAGGGAAACGAUUGAAGUCAGUCGUGUGGGAAGUAUUCAGCCGUCUCUGGCGGUGUAUUUGCUUCUCACGGGUCAACAUCAGUUUGAUCCGGUAGAAAAAGGCGGGAAGAAGGUGGCACCCUCGGGUGUGUUAUAGCUUCCUGUCAUAUGUGCCGGACCAGACUGAGGAACGCAGCUUGCAGCAAUGCCGGGGUUCGCCCACGUACAAGCUUAGGAUGUUGACAUAAUGGCUUUAAACGACCCGUCUUGAAACACGGACC